rnacentral:rRNA from 1 species
GUUUGAUCCUGGCUCAGGACGAACGCUGGCGGCGUGCUUAACACAUGCAAGUCGAGCGAUGAAUCUUCUUCGGAAGUGGAUUAGCGGCGGACGGGUGAGUAACACGUGGGUAACCUGCCCUAUAGUGGGGAAUAGCCUUUCGAAAGGAAGAUUAAUACCCCAUAAGAUUGUAGUUCCGCAUGGAACAGCAAUUAAAGGAGCAAUUCGCUAUAGGAUGGACCCGCGGCGCAUUAGCUAGUUGGUGAGGUAACGGCUCACCAAGGCGACGAUGCGUAGCCGACCUGAGAGGGUGAUCGGCCACAUUGGGACUGAGACACGGCCCACACUCCUACGGGAGGCAGCAGUGGGGAAUAUUGCACAAUGGGGGAAACCCUGAUGCACCACCGCCGCGUGAGUGAUGACUGUCUUCGGAUUGUAAAGCUCUGUCUUCAGGGACGAUAAUGACGGUACCUGAGGAGGAAGCCACGGCUAACUACGUGCCAGCAGCCGCGGUAAUACGUAGGUGGCAAGCGUUGUCCGGAUUUACUGGGCGUAAAGGGAGCGUAGGCGGACUUUUAAGUGGGAUGUGAAAUACCCGGGCUUAACCUGGGUGCUGCAUUCCAAACUGGGAGUCUAGAGUGCAGGAGGGGAAAGUGGAAUUUCCAGUGUAGCGGUGAAAUGCGUAGAGAUAAAGAAGAACCCCGGUGGCGAAGGCGACUUUCUGGACUGAUACUGACGCUGAGGCUCGAAAGCGUGGGGAGCGAACAAGAAUAGAUACCCUGGUACUCCACCCCAUAAACAAUGAAUACUAGGGUGAAGGGGGUGGCCUGAACCUCUGUGCCCCCGCUAACCCAUAUAAUAAUCCCCCCGGGGAGUACGGUCGCAAGAUUAAAACUCAAAGGAAUUGACGGGGGCCCGCACAAGCAGCGGAGCAUGUGGUUUAAUUCGAAGCAACGCGAAGAACCUUACCUAGACUUGACAUCUCCUGCAUUACCCUUAAUCGGGGAAGUUCCUUCGGGGACAGGAAGACAGGUGGUGCAUGGUUGUCGUCAGCUCGUGUCGUGAGAUGUUGGGUUAAGUCCCGCAACGAGCGCAACCCCUAUUGUUAGUUGCUACCAUUUAGUUGAGCACUCUAGCGAGACUGCCCGGGUUAACCGGGAGGAAGGUGGGGAUGACGUCAAAUCAUCAUGCCCCUUAUGUAUAGGGCUACACACGUGCUACAAUGGCCGGUACAAUUAGAAGCUAAGCCGCGAGGUGGAGCAAAACUGAAAAACCGGUCUCAGUUCGGAUUGUAGGCUGAAACUCGCCUACAUGAAGCUGGAGUUGCUAGUAAUCGCGAAUCAGCAUGUCGCGGUGAAUACGUUCCCGGGCCUUGCACACACCGCCCGUCA